GAAUUGUGCUUGGGCAGUAGAUAUAAAGAUGAAUAGGAAAUCGUCUUUGUCCUAGAAGAAGCUCACAGUCUAGAGAGGAAAAAGCCAACUGCCAUCUUGGGACUUGGGGUCCAUUCGAGCAUAAGUUGACACAACUGGUUCCUGAGCAGAAGGGAAGAUGAGGCUUGGAGAAGAAAGAAGGGCUAGGGAGAAAUAUGCGUGGUUAUCCCAUCCUACAUGGAACUCUAAUAGACACAGCAGAUAAAGGCAAGAGGUAAAUCCAGUCAGAAUAAAGCACCUGGACCUCACGUGCAGCCUCUCUCCUGGUGGGAGAGAGAAGAGCAGUUCAAGGAGCCGAGUCUGGCUUUUACUUAAGAAGGAUGGUGAUGAUAAUUGGGGUAAUUGUUAAAAAAAAAACUACAGGAGCCACAUAAAACCAAUAUCUCAAAAUAAAAAGUUUUAGACUUUUGUAAUAAGUAGUCUUUCAGGCCACAAGUAUUUAUUCGGCAUCCAUGGGGAUGCAGAGCUGUGUAUUAGCUUCCUGCACUCCUUCAUCCAUCCCCCGAUUUAGUUCAAAUAAUUCAUACAGUCUGGGCUGAAAAGAAACAAACAACAUUUGCAGGAUUUCAUUUCAUAAAUCCCCCUGCAGGGCAUUGACUGGCAGCUCACUGC